rnacentral:tRNA from 11 species
CCGGUUCGAAUCCCACCAUCAACAUACCUAUUCACAACCACUAACAUCACAUUAUCACAUCACACACAAUACC